AGUGAACGCUGGCGGUAGGCCUAACACAUGCAAGUCGAACGGCAGCACAGUAAGAGCUUGCUCUUACGGGUGGCGAGUGGCGGACGGGUGAGGAAUACAUCGGAAUCUACUUUUUCGUGGGGGAUAACGUAGGGAAACUUACGCUAAUACCGCAUACGACCUACGGGUGAAAGCAGGGGAUCUUCGGACCUUGCGCGAUUGAAUGAGCCGAUGUCGGAUUAGCUAGUUGGCGGGGUAAAGGCCCACCAAGGCGACGAUCCGUAGCUGGUCUGAGAGGAUGAUCAGCCAUACUGGAACUGAGACACGGUCCAGACUCCUACGGGAGGCAGCAGUGGGGAAUAUUGGACAAUGGGCGCAAGCCUGAUCCAGCCAUACCGCGUGGGUGAAGAAGGCCUUCGGGUUGUAAAGCCCUCUUGUUGGGAAAGAAAAGCAGCAGGUUAAUACCCCGCUGUUCUGACGGUACCCAAAGAAUAAGCACCGGCUAACUUCG
rnacentral:rRNA from 1 species